CGGAGCGUAGCGCAGCCUGGUAGCGCACUACACUGGGGGUGUAGGGGUCGUGGGUUCAAAUCCCUCCGUUCCGA
rnacentral:tRNA from 1 species